GGGGAUGUAACUCAGUGGUAGAGUAUGUGCUUAGUAUGAGCAAGGUCCUGGGUUCAAACCCCAGUACCA
rnacentral:tRNA from 1 species